rnacentral:rRNA from 1 species
GAUGAACGCUGGCGGCGUGCCUAAUACAUGCAAGUCGAGCGAACAGACGAGGAGCUUGCUCCUCUGACGUUAGCGGCGGACGGGUGAGUAACACGUGGAUAACCUACCUAUAAGACUGGGAUAACUUCGGGAAACCGGAGCUAAUACCGGAUAAUAUAUUGAACCGCAUGGUUCAAUAGUGAAAGACGGUUUUGCUGUCACUUAUAGAUGGAUCCGCGCCGCAUUAGCUAGUUGGUAAGGUAACGGCUUACCAAGGCAACGAUGCGUAGCCGACCUGAGAGGGUGAUCGGCCACACUGGAACUGAGACACGGUCCAGACUCCUACGGGAGGCAGCAGUAGGGAAUCUUUCGCAAUGGGCGAAAGCCUGACGGAGCAACGCCGCGUGAGUGAUGAAGGUCUUCGGAUCGUAAAACUCUGUUAUUAGGGAAGAACAAAAGUGUAAGUAACUAUGCACGUCUUGACGGUACCUAAUCAGAAAGCCACGGCUAACUACGUGCCAGCAGCCGCGGUAA